rnacentral:rRNA from 1 species
ACMACCAUGCAAGUCGAGCGGAAACGAUGAUAGCUUGCUAYCAGGCSYCGAGCGGCGGACGGGUGAGUAAUACUUAGGAAUCUACCUAGUAGKGGGGGAUAGCUCGGGGAAACUCGAAUUAAUACCGCAUACGACCUACGGGRGAAAGGGGGCAACUUGUUGCUCUCGCUAUUARAUGAGCCUAAGUCGGAUUAGCUAGAUGGUGGGGUAAAGGCCUACCAUGGCGACGAUCUGUAGCUGGUCUGAGAGGAUGAUCAGCCACACCGGGACUGAGACACGGCCCGGACUCCUACGGGAGGCAGCAGUGGGGAAUAUUGGACAAUGGGGGCAACCCUGAUCCAGCCAUGCCGCGKGKGUGAAGAAGGCCUUUUGGUUGUAAAGCACUUUAAGCAGUGAAGAAGACUCCRUGGUUAAUACCCAYGGACGAUGACAUUAGCUGCAGAAUAAGCACCGGCUAACUCUGUGCCAGCAGCCGCGGUAAUACAGAGGGUGCAAGCGUUAAUCGGAAUUACUGGGCGUAAAGSGAGCGUAGGUGGCUUGAUAAGUCAGAUGUGAAAUCCCCGGGCUUAACCUGGGAACUGCAUCUGAUACUGUUAGGCUAGAAUAGGUGAGAGGAAGGUAGAAUUCCAGGUGUAGCGGUGAAAUGCGUAGAGAUCUGGAGGAAUACCGAUGGCGAAAGCAGCCUUCUGGYAUCAUAUUGACACUGAGGUUCGAAAGCGUGGUAGCARACAGGAUUAGAUACCCUGGUAGUCCMCGCCGYAACGAUGUCUACUAGUCGUUGGGUCCUUGAGACUAAUGACGCMGCUAMMSMAUAAGUAGACCSCCUGGGRUACGCGCAGGUAACUCAAUGAUGWCGGGGCCGCCAGCGUGRCAUKGUUAAUUCAUGCACSSGAGAAACAUAAYG